UACAGACUUCGGCCGAUCGAUACUUCACUUCCCGAGGUUUCUGCGUACGCUUUCGCAGAAGUUGCGUAUGAGCACAUGUGACAUUCGCACAACUUGAUGAUGAUUUAUUACUUUCGCCGGCUAAGGUCGUGCGAUCAAUGAACGUCAUGUCGGAAUAUUUGCUUGAUCUCGUGCAAAUAAUAAAUAAUCAAUUUUGCCCGUUAGUAAAUACAUAUAAGUAAUAAUUUCUUUUAAGGGCCGAUUGUUUCAACUUCUUGGUAAGUUUUACCCGACAGAUAGCAUAUCUUUGCCUCUUUUCAGAUAAGUUCUAAAAAAGGGAUGAAGAUAUGAUACCUGUUGGAUAAAUUUACGAAGAAGUUGGAACAAUCGGCCCUAAGUCUUGUAAAAUUUUCUUUCUCCGUUGAAUCCUGUUCUGAAAGGCUUUUCUUAUGUCAACGGUUUUUGCACAUCUGCGAUUCUUCAAAUAGGAAGGCAAAGAAAAGGUCGCUAUGCCUUGUGCAGUGAAACGUAUACGUUGCUCCCUUCGGAGAAGCAAAUCUAUUGUGUAAGAAUCUACAUCGCACCUAGGGGAACUAUCUCGUAAGGGAUGGUCGAAGAAUCGUAAUACUUUGUGGUAGUAUGGUAAACAUCUUGCAACAUUCAGUUUUCUCUUCGUGAAUUUGGUAAAUAGAUUUAUAGUUAGAGAAAUAUACAAACUGUGCGCACAAAAUAUUCAAUUUGAGAAGUUGUAAAGUUUCACAAGAAAAUUAUAUAUUUAAUUGCGGACAUCAUCAUAAAUGUGGUUUAAAGUAACUUUCAAAAUUAAUUCACAAUUCCGAGAUUAAUGCACUUCAAUUGAUACAUAAAUACAUCAGGAAAAUCUUUAUGAUAUAUACAUUAAUUAUAUACAGCCACGUAAUUUAAAAAAUUGUUACACGCAAAGAAAGAACAGGAAGUAAGGUGCUCAAAUAUAUUUCUCAGCUAUCUAGAAGUGUUUCGUGCGAAGGUGGAAUUGUAUAAUCGUGAGAAUUUGUAUCAAAACAAUGAGUUCGUGGUAGGUAAGAAAACUCACCGAGUAUAUGGAACGUCUUGGCAACGUGCGUCUGCUUUUGGCACGCAGGUUUCUUCCGUGCAGUGAUAUAAAUCGCGUGAGUCGCAAAUCAGCAGACAAAAAUCACAGUCGCAAACACGAAUUGUUUGUGAAACAAAUCGUAAAAACUGCACACGAUAAAGUCUCUCUUUCAUGGAUGCAUAAAUUAUGCGGAGCGUUCCGCGAAUCGAUCGAUCGAGACGACGAAGACAAUUUGCACUUCCGGGAGCUAUUACUAUGCCACAACUUCAUGAUGAAAUGAAAUGUACCUGUCCUAUUGAGCGGAAGUCGCUGUAAUUCUCGGAAGACAACAUGUCUGUUUACCACGGUAGUUCGAAAAAGGAGGAACGACCGAACGUAUUUUUCUUGGAUGUAAAUCGCGGGUGCGGAUCGUUGAGUGCAGUAUCGUUUGAAAUACGCAUUCUACGAGGCCAAUUGUACGUUGGACUUGUUUUCGAAAGCGGACAAACAAAUCGGAAAACGGUACGAACGAAGAUAACAUCGAUCGUCCGGUUAUCCCUGCAGCUUGGAAAAACGAAGUUUCGAAUUUUUGAGAUAAAACGUGAACGGGGACUUCCGCAGCAAAGAUUUUUCAAGCAAACAUUAUUGCAACAUCUCCAAUUACUGCGGAGCGCUUGAUAAAAUCUUAAUACAAAAAUUAAGUGACGGAUACCAUGGAACGCCCCCGGAAGUUACGUAAAACCCGUAUGCAUGCUGCGAACAUGUUCAACACACGUGACUUGAAACGAGUUGUAACUAUACACGUGGUGUAUAUCUAAUCAUCCAAUGUGAUCACGCAAAUUGCCAGGUUUUUGGGUACCACCGAAAAUGAGAGAAUCUACCUUGCUCUAUAUCACAUUCCAUUGCGAAAAAUAGAACAGUCGAUAUUCGAUAAGUCUGUAACAUUGGUUUUAAACCUUCACCGAAGAAUAAACUGAGCGACGUAGGGUAAUCGCUUUACAACUGGAACGAGACUAUCAUUAUGAGCGGCGAGAAUUUCCAAACCACAAAAUUUCCGCUGGCAUGAGGAAACGAUCCGCUCCCGACUGUAUCUCUGAUAAAAAGCACAUACGCAUACGUGACGUCGCGUAAACGCUUUUAGUGACGCCGUUGGGUUCAUACUGAUUCAUGUGUAUAAUUUACCUGCAUUAUCAUUAUGCAAAUAGUUACGUUCGCGCGAUAAGACGUGCGCUACUUAUCGCGAGGUAACCGAAUCCAUAUAGAGAGUUGGUAUUUCUAUAAUUAGAAUAUUCUGCAAUAUAGUGCAUACACGCGAAACAGGAACUAUUACAUCAAGAAUUGCGAGCUCUUGAGGCAAAAUACGUGGGACGAUAUUUCAAAGAAUUUUUAUUUAUUGUACUUUAUAAAUACGAGUGUACGGCAACCAAGUGUAUUUAUACGUACUUAAACGAGCAUGUCUUCCAUGUCCCGAUUUUCACCAUAAAUAAUGUCAUAGUGCGCGCAAAUUCGCAUCCGUCGCCAACCAGAUCUAAUGCCAUUGACCGCUGAUACGUGAUAUCGAUUUACGCGUAAUCAUAGCUCGCGAAAACUACGGAGGGGCCAGUUCGAUAACCCGUCGCGCCACAACGUAAUUCACGUAUUUUUAUCCAUUCUGCAGUCUGCACACAUGCAGUCUGAGGUCGAAAGUUGUCGCUGUGAUAAGAUGCUUUUGCGUUGCCAUGCAGCAAGAUAGCGGUAAAUAUUGACCACAGAUGUCGGCAUCAAAACUCGUAAAAACAAGAUGACGUAAGAGCAUAGCAAGAUACAUUAUGGUGCAUUUGUCAAUACGCUUCCUUUAUGUGCGAUAACUAUUUAUAAUUUUCAAAACUUUCAGAUCGCUCUAGCUAAAAUCUAAAAGAUUUUAUUCAUCAUUUCCUAACGUAAGUCUACUCGAAAAAUUUGCAGCUGAAACAUCUUGCGAUGAUUGUCCAUGUUAUAUUUCUUAUUGAUCUGUUGUUCGAUAUUCUAGACACACUGAUAAGCGAAAAAUUAAGAAAAUCCAAUCUUGAAGAUGAAUUAUAAGAGAUAUUUCCGCAUAUAAUCAUAUUAUCGAUUUUAAAAGAAAUCUCUUUAUAAAUAAUCGCGACAUUAAGCAUUUUCUUCUGAGCGAGUUGUUUACUUCAAAGUGAAGCGAAGAAAAAUCUACCGACGCGUGAUACAUCUGCGUCAUGGAAUUAACUGUUAUUAGACAUGCAUCAAUUAAUAUUAUAGAAAAUAAAUGUUAUAACAUGAUAAAAUCGUAUAUUUCUUUAUAUAUGAUAAAUGCCAUUUUACUGUGUGUAAAUUAAUAUCCGGUUUCUCUCAGUUAAAAAUGUAUGAUCAAAAAUUCAGAUAGCCGUUCAAUGCAAUUUUCAUGCAUGAUACAAAAGCUGUGCGUAUAUUUAUUCAUGAUAUUGUCUCAUGGAAAAUUUUCCAUUGACGAGUCUGCUGAGACUCUCUCGAUGUUAAAUGGUUAAUUGACUCAGGGUAAACGGAUAGAGCAAUGUGUCAAUUGCCAAGAUUUAAGAAUGUUCCAAACAGCAGGGGGUCUUUUGUCUAUCAUAGUAUCUUAUAGAUUUAUUGAAUCUAUAAUAAAAUAAAUAUUAUACGAAA
rnacentral:lncRNA from 1 species